UACAGAGGUGGCAAGCGUUGUUCGGAAUUACUGGGCGUAAAGGGCGCGUAGACGGUUUGUCAAGUCCCGUGUGAAAGCCCUCGGCUCAACCGAGGAACGGCGCGGGAAACUAGCAGGCUUGAGUUCGGGAGAGGGAAGCGGAAUUCCGGGUGUAGCGGUGAAAUGCGCAGAUAUCCGGAGGAACACCGGUGGCGAAGGCGGCUUCCUGGACCGACACUGACGCUGAGGCGCGAAAGCUAGGGGUGCAAACGGG
rnacentral:rRNA from 1 species